rfam:Staphylococcus pseudintermedius strain 063228, complete genome.
UACUUAUCAAGAUUGGUGGAGGGACAGGCCCUUUGAAACCAGGCAACCUAUUCAGUUAGGUGCUAAUUCCUGCAGGUGAUUUUACCUGAGAGAUAAGUC